GCAAUUAUUAUUCCGUUAGAAUUCUCUUCUUCUUUGUUUCUUUUUUCUUUCUUUCUUUCGGCUUGCACCUAAUUAUAUUUUCUCAACAGCGCAAAAAAAAAAAAAGGUAAAUCAAAUUUGGGAUAACAGCCAUAUAUUGUAGUACUAAUUAAUUGAUGGUAAAAUCGUCAUAAACAUUUUAGAAUUUGACAUUUAAUUCAUUGAAAUAUCAUUAUACUGUUCAUAUACAUGAUCGAAAUGAAAAAAGAAAAAAAAAGCAUACGUAAAUCAGCAGUGAACACACACAAUCUCCUCCAAUUCUAUCAUAUAGAUGAGUGACGACUGAUAUUUGUUUGGUUAGGGAAAGAAAAGAAAAAAAAAAC
rnacentral:lncRNA from 1 species